GAUUUUUCUCUCUCUACAAAGAGCUCGCCGUUUUAGCCGUUUUCGUCGCCACGCACGUUCUUCGCUGAUUGCGAGCAUCGCAGGGGUUGCGUGGUCGUGGGAGAGAGUAUUUUGGAGGUUUUUCCGCAGCUUUGAACCAGGGGUUUGCUGGUUGGAUGCUUAAGCAGGUUCUCGAACCACUUGGAGCUUAGUUGGUGACCUUGGAAGCGGGUUUAGAAAGUGUUCUAACCUGAGCGGGAGUUCGACCGACCUUUGCAUCAUCCUUGAUUGGCUUUGGGAAGCCUUUAGAGACUUAUUUGGAGGUACUAAGCAUUGGGGCUUCGUUGAGCCGAUUGUGGGACUUCU